CCGAGCACACCAUCACCACCUUAAACAUCCUCAUCUUCUUCAUUACAUUGUCCAUUCAAAGCCUAGAAAUCAUCCAUGGAAGGUGCAACUUGAAGGGAUUUCAAGGGAGCAUUGUUCUUGCUUGGUUCUACAUCUUUUUCUCGUCAUUUUUACACAAGAUUCUUCCCUAGCUAGAGGCUAGUAGUCGCUAAAUGCUUGGAGCUUGCACGGGGAAGGAGUCGUUGUGGUAUCAUGAGCGGACGCGGAGGACGUAUCAACCUUACUCAAGCCCAGUUGACGGCUCUGAUCAACGAACGAGUUGCUGAGGCACUCGCAGCUGUUCCUGCAGGAGGUAUAACCUGCUACUUCGACCUAUCUUAGGAUGUUUAGAUUUUACCUUCGCAAACCUACCCUCGUGCUUAACCUUGUCAUUUAUUCUCGCACCACAGGUCAACAUGCU
rnacentral:lncRNA from 1 species